AGGACGAACGCUGGCGGCGUGCUUAACACAUGCAAGUCGAGCGGAAAGGCCCUUCGGGGUACUCGAGCGGCGAACGGGUGAGUAACACGUGAGCAACCUGCCCUUAGCUCUGGGAUAACUCCGAGAAAAUCGGGGCUAAUACCGGAUAUAGAAGUCGGAAGGCAUCUUCUGACUUGGAAAGUUUUUCGGCCAAGGAUGGGCCCGCGGCCUAUCAGCUUGUGGUGGGGUAAUGGCCUACCAAGGCGACGACGGGUA
rnacentral:rRNA from 1 species